UAGUGGCAGACGGGUGAGUAAUGCAUAGGAAUCUGCCUAGUAGUAUGGGAUAGCCACUAGAAAUGGUGGGUAAUACUGUAUAAUCCCUGCGGGGGAAAGAUUUAUCGCUACUGGAUGAGCCUAUGUUAGAUUAGCUAGUUGGUGGGGUAAUGGCCUACCAAGGCUGUGAUCUAUAGCUGGUCUGAGAGGAUGAUCAGCCACACUGGAACUGAGACACGGUCCAGACUCCUACGGGAGGCAGCAGUGGGGAAUAUUGGACAAUGGGCGCAAGCCUGAUCCAGCUAUGCCGCGUGAGUGAGGAAGGCCUUAGGGUUGUAAAACUCUUUCAGCAGGGAAGAUAAUGACGGUACCUGCAGAAGAAGUCCCGGCAAACUCCGUGCCAGCAGCCGCGGUAAUACGGAGGGGGCAAGCGUUGUUCGGAAUUAUUGGGCGUAAAGGGCAUGUAGGCGGUUUGGUAAGUUAAAGGUGAAAUGCC
rnacentral:rRNA from 1 species